CUCAAACUAAAGAUGUUCCCAUCUUUCUCAUCCAUGAAUUAAUUUAUAAAGGAAUGCCCAUACUCUGUCUUGUUUAAAUGAAUUGGACCUAUUACUGUUCUAUCAACGUGUCUUUCUGUUUCCCUCUCCCAUGAUGUAGCUGGACGCACAAUGUCACAGAACGUGGACAGUCUCGCCAGGAUUUGCCUGGAGAACAUCGCAGCCAAUAUGCAAAAUGUGUGGCUGGCAGAUUUCACUGACAUGGAGGAAUAUACCUUCAUGUACAUCGGGUGA